AAAUUGAAGAGUUUGAUCAUGGCUCAGAUUGAACGCUGGCGGCAGGCCUAACACAUGCAAGUCGAACGGUAACAGGAAGCAGCUUGCUGCUUUGCUGACGAGUGGCGGACGGGUGAGUAAUGUCUGGGAAACUGCCUGAUGGAGGGGGAUAACUACUGGAAACGGUGGCUAAUACCGCAUAACGUCGCAAGACCAAAGAGGGGGACCUUCGGGCCUCUUGCCAUCAGAUGUGCCCAGAUGGGAUUAGCUAGUUGGUGAGGUAACGGCUCACCAAGGCGACGAUCCCUAGCUGGUCUGAGAGGAUGACCAGCCACACUGGAACUGAGACACGGUCCAGACUCCUACGGGAGGCAGCAGUGGGGAAUAUUGCACAAUGGGCGCAAGCCUGAUGCAGCCAUGCCGCGUGUAUGAAGAAGGCCUUCGGGUUGUAAAGUACUUUCAGCGGGGAGGAAGGUGUUGUGGUUAAUAACCGCAGCAAUUGACGUUACCCGCAGAAGAAGCACCGGCUAACUCCGUGCCAGCAGCCGCGGUAAUACGGAGGGUGCAAGCGUUAAUCGGAAUUACUGGGCGUAAAGCGCACGCAGGCGGUCUGUCAAGUCGGAUGUGAAAUCCCCGGGCUCAACCUGGGAACUGCAUUCGAAACUGGCAGGCUUGAGUCUUGUAGAGGGGGGUAGAAUUCCAGGUGUAGCGGUGAAAUGCGUAGAGAUCUGGAGGAAUACCGGUGGCGAAGGCGGCCCCCCGUAAACGAUGUCUACUUGGAGGUUGUGCCCUUGAGGCGUGGCUUCCGGAGCUAACGCGUUAAGUAGACCGCCUGGGGAGUACGGCCGCAAGGUUAAAACUCAAAUGAAUUGACGGGGGCCCGCACAAGCGGUGGAGCAUGUGGUUUAAUUCGAUGCAACGCGAAGAACCUUACCUGGUCUUGACAUCCACGGAAGUUUUCAGAGAUGAGAAUGUGCCUUCGGGAACCGUGAGACAGGUGCUGCAUGGCUGUCGUCAGCUCGUGUUGUGAAAUGUUGGGUUAAGUCCCGCAACGAGCGCAACCCUUAUCCUUUGUUGCCAGCGAUUAGGUCGGGAACUCAAAGGAGACUGCCAGUGAUAAACUGGAGGAAGGUGGGGAUGACGUCAAGUCAUCAUGGCCCUUACGACCAGGGCUACACACGUGCUACAAUGGCGCAUACAAAGAGAAGCGACCUCGCGAGAGCAAGCGGACCUCAUAAAGUGCGUCGUAGUCCGGAUUGGAGUCUGCAACUCGACUCCAUGAAGUCGGAAUCGCUAGUAAUCGUGGAUCAGAAUGCCACGGUGAAUACGUUCCCGGGCCUUGUACACACCGCCCGUCACACCAUGGGAGUGGGUUGCAAAAGUAGGUAGCUUAACCUUCGGGAGGGCGCUUACCACUUUGUGAUUCAUGACUGGGGUGAAGUCGUAACAAGGUAACCGUAGGGGAACCUGCGGUUGGAUCACCUCCUUACCUUAAAGAAGC
rnacentral:rRNA from 1 species